UUUUGAGGAUUUCGGGGUUUGUUGCAUUGGGCAUCAGCUCGACUUCAAACAUGUUCAUAGGUUGGCCAGUGUGUUUCCACUUGAGAACAUUAAUGUAUUUUACAUUAUGACCUGAUGCUGUCAGAAGUUCAGUAAUGUAGGUAGUAUCUGUCGAGUAGUGAAGAUCGCGUAUGAUAACUCUGUAUCCACGUUCCGAUUCAAGUUGAUAUGUAUAACAUGGUAUCUUGGUGUUUUCGUCGUCAAAAAAUCUUCUGAGCGUUCUAAAUACAUCGCUGUUGCUACACAUGAUGCGCAAUCCUCCAGUAUUGGUGCUUUUGGUAAAGAAAGUGCCUUCACCAAUAAGAGUUUUGAUCUGGUUAAUUGUCUGUAAGAUAUUUUCAACUUUUGGAAUGACUAUGGGUGGCGGCUUAGCAACGCGAGGGUUGUUACUAAGUGAGAUUGGUGGGGGCCCUGACUGGGCUUCUGCAGUGCGUGUUGCAUGAGCGGCAGUACUGGAACUGUUUGUUGCUGGCAUUGUUGAAUCAUCAGGAAUGGCAUCUAGUGUGUCCAUACUCAUCACGUCCUCAUCCAGUUGUUGAAUAAGGUCUGGAUCUAGAUCACUGUAAUAAUUCUGCUUCAGGCUGGAAGCAGCAAUUUUUUUGUUCGUCGGGUGGAGAACAAAGUCAGGAGUCGCUGGGCGCUUGUCGGCAGUCCUGGCCUGUCUUGGAUUUGGUUGGCUUGCUUUGGCCGGGUUAAGCGAUGGUUGCUUAAACUGAAUUUCCGUGAUUUGUUCAGGGUUAAAGAUCAUAUCCAUAAGGCUUCGACCA
rnacentral:lncRNA from 1 species